ACGUCCCUGCCCUUUGUACACACCGCCCGUCGCUACUACCGAUUGAAUGGCUUAGUGAGACUCUCGGAUUGGUGAUCAAGAAUCGGCAACGGUCCCUUUUCGCUGAGAAGUUUGUCAAACUUGGUCAUUUAGAGGAAGUAAAAGUCGUAACAAGGUUUCCGUAGGUGAACCUGCGGAAGGAUCAUUAGAAUACCGGGAAAUUUAAUUUCCUUGACACUUAAUCAAAAAAUUCCAAUCUAAAUUUUUUUAUUUAAAAAACGAAAACUUUAAAAAACUAAGAUAACUUUCAACAACGGAUCUCUUGGCUCUUGCAUCGAUGAAGAACGCAGCGAAAUGCGAUAAGUAAUGUGAAUUGCAGAAUUCCGUGAAUCAUCAAAUCUUUGAACGCAAAUUGCACUUCUUGGUAUUCCGAGGAGUAUACUUGCUUGAGGGUUGGUCCACCAAAAAAUCGGGAAAUUAAAUUUUCGCGGAUCUGGGUUUUCCGAGUUUUUGGACUCUGGUAACCUUAAAUUCAUCCUAAUAAUCUUUAGGUAUAUUUAGAAAUGUUUUAUCUUACAUUGUAAGUUCAUCGAUAAUUAUACCGGUUAUUAAAUCGCGUUAUCCGCCUAUCAUCUUUCGAUUAGGUUCGAUGACUCAAUCACCCUUAUUCCUACCUCAAGUCAAGUAAGAAUACCCGCUGAACUUAAGCAUAUCAAUAAGCGGAGGAAAAGAAACUAACUAGGAUUCCCUUAGUAACGGCGAGUGAACUGGGAAGAGCACAAAUUUUAAAUCACCUCGGUGAAUUGUAAUUUGAAGAGCGUGUCUUGACGUUCCGAUCUGGUCCAAGUCCUCUGGGAUGAGGUAUCAUAGAGGGUGAGAAUCCCGUUCGACCGAACCAGGCGUUUUACGAUACGCUUUCAAAGAGUCAAGUUGUUUGGGAAUGCAGCUUAAAAUGGGAGGUAAAUUUCUCCUAAGGCUAAAUAUUGGCGAGAGACCGAUAGCGAACAAGUACCGUGAGGGAAAGAUGAAAAGCACUUUGAAAAGAGAGUUAAAUAGCACGUGAAAUUGUUGAAAGGGAAACGAUUGAAGCCAGUCGUACCGACGGGAAAUCAACCUUUCGACGCGAUCCUGUGGGCGCGUGGGAGUUUAAACCCCUGCGUUUUCAGGUUCUGCGUUCUUUUGGCGUACUUUCUCGUGUGGUAGGUUAACAUCAAUUUUGGCGGUCGUAAAAUGAUCGGAGGAAUGUGGCUUCGAUUUAUCGAAGUGUUAUAGACUCCGGUAAAUGCGAUUGUCGGGAUUGAGGAUUGCAACGAAUGCCUCUCGAGGCUAACCGCCUGAUCUCUAAUCGUCGCGUUGGUGCCGGAAGCAUGCUUACGGUUUUCGAGGUUGAUGGUUACAAGGUUAGAACGGGAUAAAUUCGUUAAGGAUGUUGACGUAAUGGCUUUAAACGACCCGUCUUGAAACACGG
rnacentral:rRNA from 1 species